rnacentral:lncRNA from 1 species
GACAGUCAACGGCCACUAUGCCGGCCGCCGAUCUCCGGCGCCGGCACCACCAUCUGCGGUGGCCGGGAAAAGGAAAAAAAAUCCUCUUUAGCCUUCUCAACCUCCUUUACCCAAAUCUGGGCUUAAAUCUCGUGAAAUAUUAACGAAAGAACCCCUAAAAGCACUAAAACCUUUCGGCUUCUGGUCGUCUUUCAUCGGAGACGACAACCUCCAUCAUUCACGGCGUUCUGGGCUUCGAAACACAGGUUGUGUCUUCCCUUUUCCCUAUUUACUUUAUUCGUAUGUAUAUAAUGGUAAAAAAACAAUAGAAAAUAAAUAAAUAAAAAUUACAAAUAACAACCUUUUGAUUCGAUUUUGUUCUCUAUAUUGCGAAAGUAAUAGCUUUUUUAUUUCUGGUUUCGAAAAUCCGGCCCCCUGUUAUAGUGUAUUCAGGGCUAUUUUAUAGCCAUAAUAAUAAAAAUGAAAAUGAGGAAAUAAAUCUAUCAUAUUGAUUUGAUUUGAUCUUGAUUCCUUGAUUUUUCUUUCCUUCUUUGUGUUUGCAGGCAAUUUCAUGGAGAUUCGGCCUUUGGCGAUGGUUGCGGCGCUAUUGAAACCCUAGGGUUUCUGUCUGUAAUUUGGGCCACCGUAGAUUGGGCCCUUAUUUGUUUUAUUAAUUGGGCCAUACGGGUCUGCUUGUAAAUGGACUGUUUCUUUUGGGUCCCUUUUUUUACCCGGGCAAAAUCCGUUAUUACAAAAACAAUCAUGAAGUAUGUGUUUAGAUUCAAA